GCCUGGACAGGCAGCUGCCCCAGAUAUAGGGCUAGAUGCUGGGUGAGCAAUCGGAAGCUCCUGUUAGGACACAGCCAGCCCUCUUGUGUGUCAGCACAGGCAGGAAGCGAGAAGAACACCGCUGCCUGCUGAGGGUUAGAGCUGAAGGGGCCAACACUACUUGGUCGGGCCUCCCUUCGAGGCUGCACACCAGAGGGCCAGGAGCCUUUUCAAAGUCUCAUGUUUACUGUGCUUCAGCAAGCCCUGAACCCCCAACGCCUGGCACUGUCUGAAGCAGAAGACUCCAGCAAACUUUGCUUGUCUUCUAUGCAAUUUCCACUGGUGCCCAUUGUUGGUGCAACCUGCCCCCCCGCCCCCUAUCCAGCCCCAUUCCAUGGCCCAGCCUGGUCCUAUUUUCCUAACCCCUGAUAGAAGGAUCUGCUUGCCUCUUUAUGUUUCUCUUGGACUCCAGAGGACAAUAUUCUCAAUUUUAUGGAUUGUAGAAAAGAAGAACACAUCCUGCCCAACCCCUGCUCACCCAGGGAUAAAUGUUAAUGGAAACCGCAUUGUUUAUUACUUUAAAAAAAAUUAUAGUCCAAGUGUUUGGCCAGUUCAUGUUUGCAGGAUGAAGAGCGAGGUGCUUGAAAGCUCAGAUAUUGAAAACAAAAAGGUGAAGGACUCUGGGUUCUUUGGUUUCACUUGGCUAAGACCCACAAUUGUGUAGACUCUCCCAAUCUGCAGGACUGCUUUAGCUUGCAGGCAUGGGAAUCCUUGUAUUCCCUGGGGACUCACAUGCUUGCUUAUGCUCCUCAGCCUUGUCUGCAUUUUGGAAGUUCAAGAAGAGCUGUUAAAUUGAAUGGUGAGGGUGGUGGAAUAUUCCUUUUCAGUAAGAUGUAUUUGGAAGAGUCUACCGUUAGUAACAACAUUCGGUAAACAACAUGUACAAAGAAUCCCAAGAUCAAGUGCUUGUGAGGCACCAAAGGCAAAAGAGGUCAGAGGUCUCAUUUUAUCCUGGCCGGAAUGUACCUGAGAGUAGGGGCAAACUUAUGCUGCUCAAGUAGAAACUGUUUGACAUGCACUGUCAAGGUUAUGAGGGCCUAGACUAGACAAACAGAGGGCCUCGAUGCAUAUUUCUCAGAAAUAAUCUGGAGACUACACAUCAGACCAGAGGUAGCACAGGACUGUAUAUUGAUCAGGGUUCAACCAGAGAGUAACAGAGUAAGUAUAUAUUAAGUGAUUUAUUGCAAGGAAUUGACUGAUGUUAUUGUGGGGGCUGGCUGGGCAAAGGAAAAGGCCCCCAGGAAGGGUCCCCAGGAAGGGCAGGCUAGAACUCUGGGGAUGGAUGGAAGCUGCUGUCCACAGGUAGAAUUUCUUCCUCAGGGAAUCUGUGACUCUGCUCUUAAGACCCUUCAGCUGAUUGAAUCAGGCCCACCCAGAUUAGCUAGGAUAAUCUAUCUUAUGUAAAGUCAAUUGGUUAUGGAUUGUAAUCAUACCUAGAAAGUAAGUUCACUGCAACACCUGGAUUGGUGCUUGAAUAAGUGGAGACUGUGACUCAAUCAAGCUGAUACCACAGAUUCUGCCUGCUGGCCUCAGGCUAAGCCAUGUCCGUGGAAUCCUCCUGAGAAGUCUGGAGGACCAGUAGCAGCCAGCCCAGCACAUAGGUGAUGCUGUAGAAGGGCCUGGAAGUGUUCUCACUGCGUGUUGGUGGCCAGAUGAAGGAAGGCAGGUUGGAGAAGGCUCAAUAAGUGAAGAGUGAAGUUGUAAUUAAAGCCAAAGAACUGACCGACGGCAUCAUCAACACAACUAGGUACAAGGUGUUCCUAUGGACUUCGUAGAAGCAGGUAGAACAAAUCCUAAGCAGCAAGACCUGCUGAUCCUGGUUUCCAUGCAGGGAUGGGGAGGGCACGGGGAAGGUGGGAUUCUGCUGGGGCCUCUGCAAGCUGGAGAAGUUGCCUUCCCCAACAGAUGCUCACAGGAAGCUCGGCCGGCCACUCUUGGAGGGCAGCACCCUUGCUGGGAGGGCGCUCUGCUGGUUCCAGCUUGUGAGUAAGGGCAACUACACGCGGCUGGUAAGAUGGGACGGUGCAGGCACUAUGAACUCUCAAAAUCAACCAACCCACGAUCUCUCCCAAGACAAAUCCCCAUGUUAAAGAGAACUGGGAUAUUAUCGAACUUGAACGGCAUGGGGACAAUGGAACAGAGGAAGCAGGAGGUCCAACAGAAGGGGAGAACAGAGCCAGCAGGCAAGUAUGAGGCCGUAUUUUUUCAACACUUGUGAGAAGAGCAAACUCAAAGACGUGCUGGCAAAAGUACCAAAAGAUGUAUGCCACAAUAUUGACUGUAGCGCUAUUUGUAACCGCAAGAAAACUGGAAAUGAAUCCAAAAAUCCAUCAGUAAGAGAGUCAGCCACGGCGCAUCCGCACAAAGGACUCUGGGCAGUUAUAAAACGGAAUGAACGAUAUGUGUUUACUACCAGGGUGUGAUGUCCAAGAGAGAGGACAAUAUAUAGGGGAUAUAAAAACUGGAUACCCAUGAAUAUAUUUUGUUUUGUAGAUUUGACCUUGGAAACAGGUUGGUUUUACUUAACUGUAAGAAAAAGUAAAUCAAAAGGAAAAAACAGCCCUUAAAAGUUGAAAAAAAAGUCAAUCAGAUGUAGCUGUGUAUCCAGUUGAUGAAAAAAACCCACACAGAGAGGAAUGACUUCAAGUUACUUUAAAGCCCAGUCAUUCAACUUGUGGGGAGAGGCUCACAUCCUUCAGGUGUUCCUGCCUAAAGCCUCUCUCUUCUGGAGGGAGGGAAGCAACGGGGCGCUUCUUGGAUAUAUGGUAUUAUGGGGUGAAAUGUGCACCCCCAAAUUCACAGGUCGAAGUCCUAACCCCCAGUAUCUUAGAAUGUGACCUUAUUUGAAAAUAGGGUCAUUGCAGAUGUCAUUAGCUAAGAUAAGAUUAGCUUGUUAGGAUAGGCCCUAAUCCAAAGGACCCAGUGUCCUUAUAAAAGGGGGAGUUUGGACAGCGACACACAUGUCAGGAGAAUGCCACAUGAAGGUGAAGGCAGAGAUGAGGGCAAUGCUUCUACAGGCCAAGAAAUGCCGAAGAUUGCCCUGAUUCAUAUUUUGAAGGCUAUUGAUAUCUGCUCUUAAUUUUGUUGAACACCGAGUUCACUGAUUUGGAUGUCCUUCUUGAUGUUUUUCUACCAUUUAAAAGAGAAGCAACAGAAAGAUGCUAAACCUAUGUUAGCAUGUUCAUAUCAGAAGUCCUUAAGGUUAAAAUUUAAUACCACAAGCCCAAGUCAUGAUUUUAGCCAAGUGCAGGGAAAGUCAUUUUCCCAUGGUGAUAAUUACAUAGUACUUUUCAUCUUCAGGGUUCGUGGGCAACACUUACCAAUUAUUCCUUGCAAUACCCUGGGGCA